rnacentral:rRNA from 1 species
AUUGAACGCUGGCGGCAGGCUUAACACAUGCAAGUCGAACGAGUGGCGGACGGGUGAGUAAUGUCUGGGAAACUGCCUGAUGGUGGGGGAUAACUACUGGAAACGGUAGCUAAUACCGCAUACCAUCGGAUGUGCCCAUAUGGGAUUAGCUAGUGGGUUGGGUAAAGGCUCACCUAGGCGACGAUCCCUAGCUGGUCUGAGAGGAUGACCAGGCACACUGGAACUGAGACACGGUCCAGACUCCUACGUGAGGCAGCAGUGGGGAAUUUUGCACAAUGGGCGCAAGCCUGAUUCAGCCAUGCCGCGUGUAUGAAGAAGGCCUUCGGGUUGUAAAGUACUUUCAUCGGGGAGGCGUUACCCGCAGAAGAAGCACCGGCUAACUUCGUGCCAGCAGCCGCGGUAAUUC